UGGGGAAUAUUGGACAAUGGGCGAAAGCCUGAUCCAGCCAUGCCGCGUGUGUGAAGAAGGUCUUCGGAUUGUAAAGCACUUUAAGUUGGAGGAAGGGCAGUAAGCGAAUACCUUGCUGUUUUGACGUUACCGACAGAAUAAGCACCGGCUAACUCUGUGCCAGCAGCCGCGGUAAUACAGAGGGUGCAAGCGUUAAUCGGAAUUACUGGGCGUAAAGCGCGCGUAGGUGGUUCGUUAAGUUGAAUGUGAAAGCCCCGGGCUCAACCUGGGAACUGCAUCCAAAACUGGCGAGCUAGAGUAGGGCAGAGGGUGGUGGAAUUUCCUGUGUAGCGGUGAAAUGCGUAGAUAUAGGAAGGAACACCAGUGGCGAAGGCGACCACCUGGGCUCAUACUGACACUGAGGUGCGAAAGCGUGGGGAGCAGACAGG
rnacentral:rRNA from 1 species